ACGUAGGGGGCAAGCGUUAUCCGGAAUUAUUGGGCGUAAAGAGUGCGUAGGUGGUUUUAUAAGCGCAGGGUGAAAGGCAAUGGCUCAACUAUUGUAAGCCUUGCGAACUGUGAGACUUGAGUGCAGGAGAGGAAAGUGGAAUUCCUAGUGUAGCGGUGAAAUGCGUAGAUAUUAGGAGGAACACCAGUGGCGAAGGCGACUUUCUGGACUGUUACUGACACUGAGGCACGAAAGCGUGGGGAGCAAACAG
rnacentral:rRNA from 1 species